rnacentral:rRNA from 1 species
AUUGAACGCUGGCGGCAGGCCUAACACAUGCAAGUCGAGCGAGCGGCGGACGGGUGAGUAAUGUCUGGGAAACUGCCUGAUGGAGGGGGAUAACUACUGGAAACGGUAGCUCAUACCGCAUACCAUCAGAUGUGCCCAGAUGGGAUUAGCUAGUGGGGGGGGUGACGGCGCACCUAGGCGACGAUCCCUAGCUGGUCUGAGAGGAUGACCAGCCACACGGGAGCUGAGAAACGGUCGAGACGACUACGAGGGGCAGCAGUGGGGAAUAUUGCACAAUGGGCGCAAGCCUGAUGCAGCCAUGCCGCGUGUGUGAAGAAGGCCUUCGGGUUGUAAAGCACUUUCAGCGGGGAGGCGUUACCCGCAGAAGAAGCACCGGCUAACUCCGUGCCAGCAGCCGCGGUAAUUC